UAUGGCCACAUCACAUUGAAACAGCAGUUCCUGUACAAUCACUGAAGUUAAGCAAUGUUGAGCCUGGUCAGUACCUAGAUAGGUGAUCAUUUAGGAAUACCAGGUGGUGUAAG